rnacentral:rRNA from 1 species
GAACGCUGGCGGCAUGCCUAACACAUGCAAGUCGAACGAGACCUUCGGGUCUAGUGGCGCACGGGUGCGUAACGCGUGGGAACCUGCCCUUAGGUUCGGAAUAACUCCCCGAAAGGGGUGCUAAUACCGGAUAAUGUCUUCGGACCAAAGAUUUAUCGCCUUUGGAUGGGCCCGCGUUGGAUUAGCUAGUUGGUAGGGUAAAAGCCUACCAAGGCGACGAUCCAUAGCUGGUCUGAGAGGAUGAUCAGCCACACUGGGACUGAGACACGGCCCAGACUCCUACGGGAGGCAGCAGUGGGGAAUAUUGGACAAUGGGCGAAAGCCUGAUCCAGCAAUGCCGCGUGAGUGAUGAAGGCCUUAGGGUUGUGAAGCUCUUUUACCCGGGAUGAUAAUGACAGUACCGGGAGAAUAAGCUCCGGCUAACUCCGUG